rnacentral:lncRNA from 1 species
AAUAUAAUGCAAUGUGGAUUGUAUUACAUCAUUUAUUAACCACAAAUCAUGAAAUCAAUACCACAGAAUCAAAUAAUGUCAACACCUCUGUACUAACAACCAACAUUUUAGCAUAAGGAGUAUCACAGGAGUGAUUACUUGCACAUCAGGAGUAUUACAAUUACAACUAAAGAGGCAUUGUCCUCACUGCUAUCCCUGAGCCCUUCACAAGGAGAGUUCCAAGCCUCGCAACUUCUUCCUCCAGCUCUGCACAUGACACUCAGGUACGAACCUCGUCCCUCAGCAAUUAGACUCUGGUAGUUUGCAAACUCCCAUUUCCCAUAGCAGAUUGAUUUACAUGGCUACUCUCACCAAUGAGAGGACCAAGCGCACAAGAUUCAGAACUUUUGCAAGCAAACAAUUAUAGAGCUAUGGGUCUCUGAGCACUUACCAUGCCUAAUCACAUGAAUCCAAGAAAUUUGCCAACUCAAAUGCUACAAAGACCAAAUGAUGGUGUGAGGCAGCUCACCAUAUAUCAUCGACUCUUACAAUGAUAGAUCCAUAGAUCAGCGAGGAUAUUCAUAACUGCUUCACCUAAGAAGGCCAAGAUGCCAUACACACAAUUAGAGCCAAAACAAAACCUGAAGCAGUGGAAAUAGCCAUCCACUUGCUGGAGGAAAUAAAUGAAAUAACAAGCAAGAAGAAGCAAACUGAUGUCGGCAGUGUAUCAAACAAUCUUACUGAAAUGAUCAAUACACAAAAAAAGGAAGCGAUCUCUAGUUGGCAACGCACUGAAUUUAGCAUAUAAAUGCCAUGGUGAGUAAAAUAAUUACCUUAGACCAUCUUAGGAAAUGUUCCAGAAGAGAAGGCAAUGACUUUUCCGUAUCACCCAUAGCAUGAAUUUUUCAACUUCAAAUCGUAUG